rnacentral:rRNA from 3 species
ACUUUCAGCAACGGAUCUCUUGGCUCUCGCAUCGAUGAAGAACGCAGCGAAAUGCGAUAAGUAAUGUGAAUUGCAGAAUUCAGUGAAUCAUCGAAUCUUUGAACGCACCUUGCGCCCCUUGGUAUUCCGAGGGGCAUGCCUGUUUGAGUGUCAUUU